rnacentral:rRNA from 1 species
UACGUAGGGUGCAAGCGUUGUCCGGAAUUAUUGGGCGUAAAGAGCUCGUAGGCGGUCUGUCGCGUCGGCUGUGAAAACUCGGGGCUCAACCCCGAGCCUGCAGCCGAUACGGGCAGACUAGAGUUCGGUAGGGGAGACUGGAAUUCCUGGUGUAGCGGUGAAAUGCGCAGAUAUCAGGAGGAACACCGGUGGCGAAGGCGGGUCUCUGGGCCGAUACUGACGUGAGGAGCGAAAGCAUGGGGAGCGAACAGG